CCAUCUUGGAAACAAGCUACCAGAGCAUGUUUCCCAAAUGUCUGCUCGUAAAUUGUUUGGGAUACCCGACUGAACAAGCUUUUGAAAAUUUGGAGUUUGUAUGAGAUUAAAAUUAGCACCGUUUUUUUUUAGAUAUUGAAUCCAGCUUUUGGAGUUAUUUUCAUUGAUUAAACCAUUUGUAUUGCUGCUUGCUAUCGGAUAACCAAACUGCGAACCAAGACCUAAGUCAAUGCUCUCGAUUUCUUGUGAAUUGGCUGAUUCAGAAAAACAGACUCUUUCGGAUGCUAGUGAUAACAAAAAUAAACCAACGCUUGAAGCAUCCUCAAGAGAAGCAUGUAACUGGCGAACUAGUCGGUCACAAAAGAAUUCUGAUUGCUGUCUCGUUCCUUUAAACCUCAAGUGAAUUAUCUGACUGUGAAAGUUAGAGAGAUCAAAAGUAAAUGUAUCAUUGUCUGAAUUUUCCCUUUCUAGCUUUCGAACGGCAGCUAAAGGGAAA